GAUGAACGCUGGCGGCGUGCCUAAUACAUGCAAGUCGAGCGAACAGAUAAGGAGCUUGCUCCUUUGACGUUAGCGGCGGACGGGUGAGUAACACGUGGGUAACCUACCUAUAAGACUGGGAUAACUUCGGGAAACCGGAGCUAAUACCGGAUAACAUUUGGAACCGCAUGGUUCUAAAGUGAAAGACGGUUUUGCUAUCACUUAUAGAUGGACCCGCGCCGUAUUAGCUAGUUGGUAAGGUAACGGCUUACCAAGGCAACGAUACGUAGCCGACCUGAGAGGGUGAUCGGCCACACUGGAACUGAGACACGGUCCAGACUCCUACGGGAGGCAGCAGUAGGGAAUCUUCCGCAAUGGGCGAAAGCCUGACGGAGCAACGCCGCGUGAGUGAUGAAGGGCUUCGGCUCGUAAAACUCUGUUAUUAGGGAAGAACAAAUGUGUAAGUAACUAUGCACGUCUUGACGGUACCUAAUCAGAAAGCCACGGCUAACUACGUG
rnacentral:rRNA from 1 species